GCAGGCAUUGCAAUUGCCUCUGCCUCUCAAAUAUCUUUUCUCUCCCUGCUUGGUAUCACUUGCAAAAUCUACACAGAGAGAGGAAAAUGGCCUUCGACAAGAUCAAAGUCGCCAACCCCAUCGUUGAGAUGGAUGGAGAUGAAAUGACUCGAGUUUUCUGGAAAUCAAUCAAGGAUAAGCUUAUUUUUCCAUUUCUGGAGUUGGAUAUAAAGUAUUUCGAUCUUGGGCUCCCUCAUCGUGACGCCACUGAUGAUAAAGUUACAGUUGAAAGUGCAGAAGCUACACUUAAGUACAAUGUAGCAAUCAAGUGUGCAACUAUUACUCCAGAUGAAGGUCGCAUGAAGGAGUUCGACUUGAAGCAAAUGUGGAAGAGUCCAAAUGGGACAAUUAGGAAUAUAUUGAAUGGCACCGUUUUCAGAGAACCAAUCAUUUGCAAAAACAUUCCCAGGCUUGUCCCAAGUUGGACAAAGCCAAUAUGCAUUGGAAGGCAUGCUUUUGGUGAUCAGUAUCGAGCAACUGAUACAGUGAUUAAAGGAGCUGGGAAACUCAAAUUGGUGUUUGUACCAGAAGGAAAAGAUGAAAAGACGGAGCUUGAGGUUUUCAACUUUACAGGUGCUGGAGGAGUAGCAUUGUCGAUGUAUAAUACUGAUGAGUCCAUUUAUUCUUUUGCUGAGGCUUCAAUGAACACUGCUUACCUAAAACGGUGGCCCCUUUAUCUUAGCACAAAAAAUACUAUUCUUAAGAAGUAUGAUGGGAGAUUCAAGGACAUAUUCCAAGAAGUUUAUGAGACCCAAUGGAAAUCAAAGUUUGAGGCUGCCGGGAUCUGGUAUGAACACCGUCUCAUUGAUGAUAUGGUUGCUUAUGCUCUCAAGAGUGAAGGAGGUUAUGUGUGGGCAUGCAAGAACUAUGAUGGAGAUGUACAGAGUGAUUUCUUAGCCCAAGGAUUCGGAUCUCUUGGUUUGAUGACAUCUGUGCUGGUUUGUCCAGAUGGAAAGACCAUAGAAGCUGAAGCUGCCCAUGGGACAGUGACACGUCAUUUCCGGGUUCAUCAGAAAGGAGGUGAAACCAGUACAAACAGCAUAGCCUCUAUCUUUGCUUGGUCACGAGGCCUUGCACACAGGGCAAAGUUGGAUGACAAUGCUAGACUCUUGGAUUUCACUCAGAAACUAGAAGCAGCUUGUGUUGGAACUGUGGAAUCUGGAAAGAUGACCAAGGAUCUUGCACUUCUUAUCCAUGGAUCUAAGGUGACGAGGGAUUGGUAUCUGAAUACUGAAGAGUUCAUCGAUGCUGUGGCAGCAGAGCUGAAAGCAAAACUUUCUUGCUAAGCAUAAUUGGUGUCCGAUGCGAGAGUUGUUACCCUUCAAUUGGUCAUAAGAAUAAUAUUAAUUGUAGUGUUUACACCUUGGAGUUCAAGACUGAAUAGGUUUCUCAUGUACUCUGGCCGAUGGCUAAGAAGAAAUAAAGGGGAGAGAGGGACAAAGAGGCGUGGGAAGGAGUUUGUACUUGAAAUUUUACUAUUUCGGACAAUCCUCAUACUUGAAUUUCUCUGAUCUUUCAUUUUGGAUAAAAAUGUUUUUGUGGUACUUUUAUUCGAGUUUUUAUGAAGCCCUCGGAGCCUAGUAGGCAGAAAGCAUCACAGUAAAGAAGGCCCUCCACAAGGGGAGGAAAUUCUCCAUCCCAAACCCCAAGCCUCCCCUCCAAUAUGUUGUUCAACUUAACAUCUGCACUUAAAUUACUUUUCUUAGAUUUCCA